rnacentral:rRNA from 1 species
UACGAAGGGUGCAAGCGUUACUCGGAAUUACUGGGCGUAAAGCGUGCGUAGGCGGUUUGUUAAGUCUGUCGUGAAAGCCCCGGGCUCAACCUGGGAGUGGCAUUUGGGACUGCAAGGCUUGAGUGCGGCAGAGGAGACUGGAAUUCCUGGUGUAGCAGUGAAAUGCGUAGAUAUCAGGAGGAAUACCGAUGGCGAAGGCAGGUCUCUGGGCUGACACUGACGCUCAUGCACGAAAGCGUGGGGAGCAAACAGG